ACGCUCGACACCCUACGGGAGGCAGCAGUAGGGAAUCUUCCACAAUGGACGCAAGUCUGAUGGAGCAACGCCGCGUGAGUGAAGAAGGUCUUCGGAUCGUAAAAACUCUGUUGUUAGAGAAGAACACGAGUGAGAGUAACUGUUCAUUCGAUGACGGUAUCUAACCAGCAAGUCACGGCUAACUACGUGCUAGCAGCCGCGGUAAUCUGAGCGGGCUGGCAAGGC
rnacentral:rRNA from 1 species